rnacentral:rRNA from 1 species
UCGAGGGGUAUAGUCUUCGGAUUUAGAGACCGGCGCACGGGUGCGUAACGCGUAUGCAAUCUACCUUUCACAGAGGGAUAGCCCAGAGAAAUUUGGAUUAAUACCUCAUAGUAUAGCUGAACCGCAUGGUUCUACUAUUAAAGUCACAACGGUGAAAGAUGAGCAUGCGUCCCAUUAGCUAGUUGGUAAGGUAACGGCUUACCAAGGCUACGAUGGGUAGGGGUCCUGAGAGGGAGAUCCCCCACACUGGUACUGAGACACGGACCAGACUCCUACGGGAGGCAGCAGUGAGGAAUAUUGGUCAAUGGACGCAAGUCUGAACCAGCCAUGCCGCGUGCAGGAUGGCGGUCCUAUGGAUUGUAAACUGCUUUUGCACAGGAAGAAACAACUCUACGUGUAGAGUCUUGACGGUACUGUGAGAAUAAGGAUCGGCUAACUCCGUGCCAGCAGCCGCGGUAAUACGGAGGAUCCAAGCGUUAUCCGGAAUCAUUGGGUUUAAAGGGUCCGUAGGCGGUUUAGUAAGUCAGUGGUGAAAGCCCAUCGCUCAACGGUGGAACGGCCAUUGAUACUGCUAGACUUGAAUUAUUAGGAAGUAACUAGAAUAUGUAGUGUAGCGGUGAAAUGCUUAGAGAUUACAUGGAAUACCAAUUGCGAAGGCAGGUUACUACUAAUGGAUUGACGCUGAUGGACGAAAGC